GACGAACGCUGGCGGCGUGCCUAAUACAUGCAAGUCGUGCGGACCUUGUUGAAAGCUUGCUUUUAAAAGGUUAGCGGCGGACGGGUGAGUAACACGUGGGCAACCUGCCUGUAAGACUGGGAUAACGCCGGGAAACCGGGGCUAAUACCAGAUCGUUUUUUCCUCCGCAUGGAGGAAAAAGGAAGGGCGGCUUCGGCUGCCACUUACAGAUGGGCCCGCGGCGCAUUAGCUAGUUGGCGGGGUAAUGGCCCACCAAGGCAACGAUGCGUAGCCGACCUGAGAGGGUGAUCGGCCACAUUGGGACUGAGACACGGCCCAAACGCCUACGGGAGGCAGCAGUAGGGAAUCUUCCGCAAUGGACGAAAGUCUGACGGAGCAACGCCGCGUGAGUGAAGAAGGCCUUCGGGUCGUAAAACUCUGUUGCCGGGGAAGAACAAGUGCCGUUCGAACAGGGCGGCGCCUUGACGGUACCCGGCCAGAAAGCCACGGCUAACUACGUG
rnacentral:rRNA from 1 species